UUUCUCCUCCACUUUUUAAAAUCUCCGAUGAUGGGAUAGAAAUUGGACAGGAGGAUGCCAAUUCCCCGUAACAAUACAAAAAGUUAAUUGUAGGGAUCCACCAUAUAGCUUUUAUCUGCUUUGGAUUUUUUAAUAAGUAGAGAUGAAGGAGAAGGGAUGAAGAGACGAGAACAGGAAAUUGCUAUUAAGACUAUUGAGAUGCAGCUGAAGAGUUGGCCUAUUGAAAUGCAGUCGAAGAGUGUCCUCACUGAGAUGCAGCCACAGGCAGAUGGACAAGCAGGAACCUGGGAUGGAAAUAGACGAUAAUCCUGAAGAGGCUGUGGAUAGGGAUCUCUCUUACUGUGUACAGGCUGGCAUGCCUUGGGCGGAUGGCUGUGACCCAGACCAAAUUGAUGAUGAGAAUGGAUUGCUUUGAAUCCAUCACUUGGCAAGUGAUUUUAAGUAAUCUUCGAUAGACUUGAAAUCAAUGACGAAGACUCUACAGGCAAGAAUAUACACUGCAUGGGGAAAUGGUUGAGGACAUCCCAAUGUGCUGUAUACAUUUACAUAUAUAUUGUUAAAUACUGUACCUUGAUCAAAUAUUACUGUCAGAUUAAUUUGAGGAUCUCUCAUUUAAUACUUAAAUGAAAAGCAAAAUUCACCCAAAGAUUUGGGAUUCCUCACUAGUCAAAGGUGAAACUAGGCUACAAUUGAGAUCAUACCACUAGGGGUACUUGUUCACAUCUUCAAGACAUAUAGAGGGAUGCCUGGCUGACGUCAGUGGCCCGGACAUUACAUGUCCAUCCCCAUGUAAUGUCUGGAGCUCGGCGUUCAAGUUGAUGGUUAUUUGUCACUCAUGCAGAACUGUUUCAUCACCGGUAUAGUUAACCUGCUUCACCUCUGUAGUAUUGCACCUUUUCAUCCUUUGUUUUUUGCCCCAGGAUGACUGGUAUGGGCUUGCCCUGAGUGUAAAUGUAAUGUAUUCCAUCAAAUAGAGAAUGUAUCUUGGACAUGGCCUAAAGGUAGAUAUGGUGUGCUGUGGUUUUUCAUUCAAUGUAGCUGACAUGAUUAUAGCUAUACUCUUGUAGGUUGUCAUGUUUUGGUGAGUAGUCAUACUCUUAACAAAACACACAGGAAUUGUCACAGGCAACUCCUGUGACAAGGUAUGUGUCUAAAAAAGCCAUCUUGAAGGCACACCUUAAACAAUCUGUUCAUAUUGCAGUUCAUGAAAGCCUUACAUUUCACUAAAUUGUAUUUGUGGUCUUCUGAUGCUUUCCAGUCAUGGGUACUUGCUAAAGAUCUAUAAAAAUGUUGAAAUCCACUCAGCAAAAAAAUAAAUGUAUUUUCACCAUCAACUUUUAUUUUCAGCA